rnacentral:lncRNA from 1 species
GCCGCCCAGUUCACACUCCUGCGCCUCGAGCGCGACUCGCCUCAGCGCUCAGCUCAGAUCGCCGCACCAAUCCUCGGCGAAGGAGGUAAUUAACAGCACCCCUACCUGCAAUUUCCGGUCUAAAACCGUUGAUCUCCACUCCCUGUUAGCUCAUGAUGCUUCUUUAGUACUACUACUACUAGUAGUAGUAGUAGUAGUAGUAGUAGUAGUAGGGCACCAGCGCUCUGGUCCGAGGUCAGCCUGCCAAACCUCCGCGCCUUGUGUUAGUUAGGUCUGUUCUUGAUUUGGGCACUGAUCACCUCGUACUUGUUUGGGCGGUAGGGCUUCUUUCAAAGGGCUGGGGUUAUUGGUGCUGUUUAGGGUUACUAGAGCUAUAAUAAGAUGCCGGCUGUUCCUUUGCCGAAAUUGCUUGUGGCAUUGCUGUGUCUGUAUGCGCCUGAAUCUCAACAUUUGUGGCAUGUGAUGCUUAAUCUGUGCACCACUGCUGUUCUUGGUGCAGCUUUUCGUGUGAUAUUUGCGGUAUGUGCUGCGCAAUCUUCGUUUACACGCUGUGGUGAAGCACCAAAUUUGUGCUUGCUGUGCUUAUAAUAGACAGGUGAACGAUUUCAAACCGCGGACUGAACUUUGUUUCAAGUCUGAAUUUGUGUUCCUAACCUUUUUGAGUGCUCUUCUUGCUUUCAGAGAAAAUCCCAACGGUUUCCUCGGGCCACCGAAGCUUCCGAUUUCGUCUGUUGGAGAUAUCUUUGAGCCAAAAACUCUUCAGAUAGUGAGUCUGAAUUCCUUGACCUUCAGCCUCCUUUAG